rnacentral:rRNA from 1 species
UGCGUAACAGCUCACUAGUCGAGGGUCCGGGCAUGGAUAAUAAUCGGGUAUAAGUCAGAUACCGAAGGCGCGGGAUAGUAAUGUAUAUUAAAAGUAUCGGUAGGGGAGCAUUCCAUCGGCGUUGAAUGGUGAGGGUAACCGAUCCUGGAGCUUAUGGAAAAGCAAAUGUAGGUAUAAGUAACGAUAAAAAGGGUGAGAUUCCCUUUCGCCGAAAGACCGAGGUUUCCCGGGCGAUGCCAAUCAGCCCGGGGUUAGUCGGGUCCUAAGUCUCAGCCGAACGGCGAAGGCGAUGGCAGAUGCGGUUAAUAUUCCGCAACUCGCAUAUACAGUGAUGUGGAGACGGAGCAGUGACACUGCCGCGCCCUGACGGAAUAGGGCGUUUAAGUGCGUAGGCUAUGAGGAAGGCAGGCAAAUCCACCUUCCGAGCUGAACCAUGAAAGUACAGGUAAUCCUUCGGGAUAACUUGAGUGCAGGUAAUCAUACUUCCGAGAAAAUCCGCUAAACUUAAUGUAUAUGCGACCCGUACCGCAAACGGACACACGUGGUCGGGUAGAAUAUACUAAGGCGUUGAGAGAUUCAUGGUUAAGGAACUAGGCAAAUUGACCCCGUAACUUCGGGAUAAGGGGUCCUCAUAGCAAUAUGAGGCGCAGAGAAUCGGUCCAGGCAACUGUUUAACAAAAACACAGGGCUGUGCAAACUCGAAAGAUGAAGUAUACAGCCUGACACCUGCCCGGUGCCGGAAGGUUAAGAGGAGAUGUCACCAGCAAUGGGAAGCAUUGAAUUGAAGCCCCGGUAAACGGCGGCCGUAACUAUAACGGUCCUAAGGUAGCGAAAUUCCUUGUCGGGUAAGUUCCGACCUGCACGAAUGGUGUAAUGAUCCGGACGCUGUCUCAACCAUGAUCUCAGUGAAAUUGUAGUAUCGGUGAAGAUGCCGAUUACCCGCGAUGGGACGAAAAGACCCCGUGAACCUUUACUACAGCUUAGCAUUGACCUUGGUCAUCCGAUGUGUAGGAUAGGCCGGAGGCUUUGAAUCAUGCACGCUAGUGUGUGUGGAGCCAUCCUUGAAAUACGGCCCUUUGGCUGUCUGAGGUCUAACACGUAAUUUCGUGGACAUUGUUUGGUGGGUAGUUUGACUGGGGUGGUCGCCUCCAAAAGCGUAACGGAGGCUUCCAAAGGUACCCUCAGGUCGAUUGGUAACCGACCUAUUAGAGUGCAAUGGCAUAAGGGUGCUUGACUGAGAGGCAGACAUGCCGACCAGGUAGGAAACUAGGGCAUAGUGAUCCGGCGGAUGUGUAUGGAAACUCCGUCGCUCAAAGGAUAAAAGGUACUCCGGGGAUAACAGGCUGAUCCCCCCCAAGAGCUCAUAUCGACGGGGUGGUUUGGCACCUCGAUGUCGGCUCGUCACAUCCUGGGGCUGGAGAAGGUCCCA